rnacentral:rRNA from 1 species
UACGUAGGGUGCGAGCGUUGUCCGGAAUACUGGGCGUAAAGCGUGCGCAGGCGGUUUUGUAAGACUGUCGUGAAAUCCCCGGGCUUAACCUGGGAAUGGCGAUGGUGACUGCAAGGCUAGAGUAUGGCAGAGGGGGGUAGAAUUCCACGGUGUAGCAGUGAAAUGCGUAGAGAUGUGGAGGAAUACCGAUGGCGAAGGCAGCCCCCUGGGCCAAUACUGACGCUCAUGCACGAAAGCGUGGGGAGCAAACAGG